rnacentral:rRNA from 1 species
CCGUACACAAAAAUGCACAUGCUGUGAGCUCGAUGAGUAGGGCGGGACACGUGGUAUCCUGUCUGAAUAUGGGGGGACCAUCCUCCAAGGCUAAAUACUCCUGACUGACCGAUAGUGAACCAGUACCGUGAGGGAAAGGCGAAAAGAACCCCGGCGAGGGGAGUGAAAAAGAACCUGAAACCGUGUACGUACAAGCAGUGGGAGCACGCUUAGGCGUGUGACUGCGUACCUUUUGUAUAAUGGGUCAGCGACUUAUAUUCUGUAGCAAGGUUAACCGAAUAGGGGAGCCGAAGGGAAACCGAGUCUUAACUGGGCGUUAAGUUGCAGGGUAUAGACCCGAAACCCGGUGAUCUAGCCAUGGGCAGGUUGAAGGUUGGGUAACACUAACUGGAGGACCGAACCGACUAAUGUUGAAAAAUUAGCGGAUGACUUGUGGCUGGGGGUGAAAGGCCAAUCAAACCGGGAGAUAGCUGGUUCUCCCCGAAAGCUAUUUAGGUAGCGCCUCGUGAAUUCAUCUCCGGGGGUAGAGCACUGUUUCGGCAAGGGGGUCAUCCCGACUUACCAACCCGAUGCAAACUGCGAAUACCGGAGAAUGUUAUCACGGGAGACACACGGCGGGUGCUAACGUCCGUCGUGAAGAGGGAAACAACCCAGACCGCCAGCUAAGGUCCCAAAGUCAUGGUUAAGUGGGAAACGAUGUGGGAAGGCCCAGACAGCCAGGAUGUUGGCUUAGAAGCAGCCAUCAUUUAAAGAAAGCGUAAUAGCUCACUGGUCGAGUCGGCCUGCGCGGAAGAUGUAACGGGGCUAAACCAUGCACCGAAGCUGCGGCAGCGACGCUUAUGCGUUGUUGGGUAGGGGAGCGUUCUGUAAGCCUGUGAAGGUGUACUGUGAGGUAUGCUGGAGGUAUCAGAAGUGCGAAUGCUGACAUAAGUAACGAUAAAGCGGGUGAAAAGCCCGCUCGCCGGAAGACCAAGGGUUCCUGUCCAACGUUAAUCGGGGCAGGGUGAGUCGACCCCUAAGGCGAGGCCGAAAGGCGUAGUCGAUGGGAAACAGGUUAAUAUUCCUGUACUUGGUGUUACUGCGAAGGGGGGACGGAGAAGGCUAUGUUGGCCGGGCGACGGUUGUCCCGGUUUAAGCGUGUAGGCUGGUUUUCCAGGCAAAUCCGGAAAAUCAAGGCUGAGGCGUGAUGACGAGGCACUACGGUGCUGAAGCAACAAAUGCCCUGCUUCCAGGAAAAGCCUCUAAGCAUCAGGUAACAUCAAAUCGUACCCCAAACCGACACAGGUGGUCAGGUAGAGAAUACCAAGGCGCUUGAGAGAACUCGGGUGAAGGAACUAGGCAAAAUGGUGCCGUAACUUCGGGAGAAGGCACGCUGAUAUGUAGGUGAAGUCCCUCGCGGAUGGAGCUGAAAUCAGUCGAAGAUACCAGCUGGCUGCAACUGUUUAUUAAAAACACAGCACUGUGCAAACACGAAAGUGGACGUAUACGGUGUGACGCCUGCCCGGUGC